rnacentral:lncRNA from 1 species
UCCCAAGUCUCACAUCCAAGAAUACUGGAGGAUCUUUGACUUCUUAUCACACCACCCUGAGAGCUUGAGCACUUUCGCUUGGUUCUUUGAUGAUGUUGGGAUUCCUCAAGAUUACAGACACAUGGAAGGCUUUGGUGUUCACACUUUUACUUUCAUCAACAAGGCUGGAAAAGUAACCUAUGUGAAAUUUCACUGGAAACCCACUUUGGGAGUCAAGUGUUUGAUGGAUGAUGAGGCACAGAAGAUUGGAGGUGUCAACCACAGCCAUGCUACGCAAGAUCUGUAUGAUUCCAUUGCUGCUGGCAACUAUCCUGAGUGGAAACUAUUUAUUCAGACAAUGGAUCCAGCUGAUGAAGACAAAUUUGACUUUGAUCCACUUGAUAUGACUAAGAUCUGGCCUGAGGAUAUGUUUCCUCUGCAGCAACUUGGGCGUCUGGUGUUGAACAGGAACAUCGAUAACUGGUUUGCUGAGAAUGAGAUGCUUGCGUUCGAUCCUGGUCAUGU